CAGGGAGCAAGUGGCAAGGAAAGCAGGCCAGUUCAACAUCAGCAAGCAGCCAGAUGGGAUCCAAUAUGCUGCACUUCCUUAUUACGUGUCCUUGGUCUCCUCCAAACUGGCAUCUCAGACUUUCCUGUCUCCUGUGACUGACAUUUUGAAGAGUAGGUCAAGAUAAGUUUAAAAGCAGCAAGAGAAAAAAAAAAUCCUCACAAAUAAGGCUAUAAUGGAUUUUUCAGCUUAAAUUCUUCAAGCCACAAGAGAAUGGAUGAUAUAUUCAAAGUUCUGGAGGAAAAAACCUGCCAAGCAAGAAUACUUUACCCAGCACAGGUAUCCCUCAGAAAAUAAGGUGAGAGAAAGACUCCCAGACAGAAGCUGAGGAAGUUGAUCACCAGUAGACCUGCCUACAAGAAAUGCUGAAAGGAGUAUUUCAGGCAGAAGUGAAAGGACAUUAACCAGUGACAUAAAACCAUACUUAACGACUAAUAGCCCACUUUUGACUGAAAGCCUUAUUGAUAACAUA